rnacentral:rRNA from 1 species
GACGAACUGUCCUAACGUUGUUCGGAAUUACUGGGCGUAAAGCGCACGUAGGCGGCUUUGUAAGUUAGAGGUGAAAGCCCGGGCUCAACUCCGGAAUUGCCUUUAAGACUGCAUCGCUAGAAUUGUGGAGAGGUAAGUGGAAUUCCGAGUGUAGAGGUGAAAUUCGUAGAUAUUCGGAAGAACACCAGUGGCGAAGGCGACUUACUGGACACAUAUUGACGCUGAGGUGCGAAAGCGUGGGAGCAAACAGG